GAUGGGAGCUUGCUCCUGGAUUAGUGGCGAACGGGUGAGUAACACGUGAGUAACCUGCCCUUAACUCUGGGAUAAGCCUGGGAAACUGGGUCUAAUACCGGAUAUGACUCCUCAUCGCAUGGUGGGGGGUGGAAAGCUUUAUUGUGGUUUUGGAUGGACUCGCGGCCUAUCAGCUUGUUGGUGAGGUAAUGGCUUACCAAGGCGGCGACGGGUAGCCGGCCUGAGAGGGUGACCGGCCACACUGGGACUGAGACACGGCCCAGACUCCUACGGGAGGCAGCAGUGGGGAAUAUUGCACAAUGGGCGCAAGCCUGAUGCAGCGACGCCGCGUGAGGGAUGACGGCCUUCGGGUUGUAAACCUCUUUCAGUAGGGAAGAAGCGAAAGUGACGGUACCUGCAGAAGAAGCGCCGGCUAACUACGUGCCAGCAGCCGCGGUAAUACGUAGGGCGCAAGCGUUAUCCGGAACUAUUGGGCGUAAAGAGCUCGUAGGCGGUUUGUCGCGUCUGCCGUGAAAGUCCGGGGCUCAACUCCGGAUCUGCGGUGGGUACGGGCAGACUAGAGUGAUGUAGGGGAGACUGGAAUUCCUGGUGUAGCGGUGAAAUGCGCAGAUAUCAGGAGGAACACCGAUGGCGAAGGCAGGUCUCUGGGCAUUAACUGACGCUGAGGAGCGAAAGCAUGGGGAGCGAACAGGAUUAGAUACCCUGGUAGUCCAUGCCGUAAACGUUGGGCACUAGGUGUGGGGGACAUUCCACGUUUUCCGCGCCGUAGCU
rnacentral:rRNA from 1 species